UCAAUUUUUAAAAUUCUAUGAUCGGAGAUCAUCUGAUUUUGUUUUAAGGAAACAAUUUCCCUUUUCAAUUGUUCAACUUCGAUUUUUAAAUCAUUAAAGGUAGUAUCUCUACCUGGGGUUUUACUCAACGCAAGACGUCGAUUAACUUCGGCUAAGGAAUAAGACAUGUGAUGAUUAUCAAAAGAGUUAUCUUUAGAAAUACUAGUAUUAGCAGAAGUUUUUUGAGUAGCAAAUUAAGGAUUUUUUCACGCAGUUUUUCAUCUGUAACUUCUUUUAGUAAUUUGAGAACAUUUUCAGCAGUAAGAGUUUGAACAUUUAAAUCAAGAUCUUCGAAUUGCGCUUGAAUUUUAUACAUCAUUUUAUCACAAUUACAAACAUCAUUAUCACAGUCAUUACAUUUAUUAACCUGAUCGAUCUCACUAUCA
rnacentral:lncRNA from 1 species